CGAUCGGGAGGCCUCUGGUGGGACAGGGGCCGUGAAUGGAUCAGAAUCAGACCGUCUCGUAUGGGCGAGGUGCCGGGGCCCGACGGCAUCCGCG
rfam:Litorimicrobium taeanense strain DSM 22007 genome assembly, contig: Ga0070518_103